UGGCGGACGGGUGAGUAACGCGUGGGGAACCUGCCCUGUACAGGGGGAUAACACUUAGAAAUAGGUGCUAAUACCGCAUAAGCGCACAGUAUCACAUGAUACAGUGUGAAAAACUCCGGUGGUACAGGAUGGACCCGCGUCUGAUUAGCUGGUUGGCGGGGUAACGGCCCACCAAGGCGACGAUCAGUAGCCGGCCUGAGAGGGUGAACGGCCACAUUGGGACUGAGACACGGCCCAAACUCCUACGGGAGGCAGCAG
rnacentral:rRNA from 1 species